UCGGUUCCGGUUCACGUCGUCGCAUCCGCGCGAGGACGACCCGGGGGCA
rnacentral:ncRNA from 1 species